GUAGGUGGCAAGCGUUGUCCGGAAUUAUUGGGCGUAAAGCGCGCGCAGGCGGUUCUUUAAGUCUGAUGUGAAAGCCCACGGCUCAACCGUGGAGGGUCAUUGGAAACUGGAGAACUUGAGUACAGAAGAGGAAAGCGGAAUUCCACGUGUAGCGGUGAAAUGCGUAGAGAUGUGGUGGAACACCAGUGGCGAAGGCGGCUUUCUGGUCUGUAACUGACGCUGAGGCGCGAAAGCGUGGGGAGCAAACAGGGAUUAGAUACCCUGGUAGUCCACGCCGUAAACGAUGAGUGCUAGGUGUUAGGGGGGUUUCCGCCCCCUUAGUGCUGCAGCUAACGCAUUAAGCACUCCGCCUGGGGAUACGGCCGCAAGGCUG
rnacentral:rRNA from 1 species